GUGCCAGCCGCCGCGGUAAUACGGGGGGUGCAAGCGUUAAUCGGAAUCACUGGGCGUAAAGGGUGCGUAGGCGGUGCAUUAGGUCUGUCGUGAAAUCCCCGGGCUCAACCUGGGAAUGGCGGUGGAAACCGGUGUACUAGAGUAUGGGAGAGGGUGGUGGAAUUCCAGGUGUAGCGGUGAAAUGCGUAGAGAUCUGGAGGAACAUCAGUGGCGAAGGCGGCCACCUGGCCCAAUACUGACGCUGAGGCACGAAAGCGUGGGGAGCAAACAGGAUUAGGUACCCUGGUAGUCCACGCCCUAAACGAUGAAUACUAGAUGUUUGGUGCCAAGCGUACUGAGUGUCGUAGCUAACGCGAUAAGUAUUCCGCCUGGGAAGUACGGCCGCAAGGUUAAAACUCAAAGGAAUUGACGGGGGCCCGCACAAGCGGUGGAGCAUGUGGUUUAAUUCGAUGCAACGCGAAGAACCUUACCUGGGCUUGACAUGUCUGGAAUCCUGCAGAGAUGCGGGAGUGCCCUUCGGGGAAUCAGAACACAGGUGCUGCAUGGCUGUCGUCAGCUCGUGUCGUGAGAUGUUGGGUUAAGUCCCGCAACGAGCGCAACCCUUGUCCUUAGUUGCCAGCGGUUCGGCCGGGCACUCUAGGGAGACUGCCGGUGACAAACCGGAGGAAAGGUGG
rnacentral:rRNA from 1 species